UACGUAGGGUGCAAGCGUUAAUCGGAAUUACUGGGCGUAAAGCGUGCGCAGGCGGUUUUGUAAGUCUGACGUGAAAUCCCCGGGCUCAACCUGGGAAUUGCGUUGGAGACUGCAAGGCUUGAAUCUGGCAGAGGGGGGUAGAAUUCCACGUGUAGCAGUGAAAUGCGUAGAGAUGUGGAGGAACACCGAUGGCGAAGGCAGCACCCUGGGUCAAGAUUGACGCUCAUGCACGAAAGCGUGGGGCGCAAACAGG
rnacentral:rRNA from 1 species